AGUGAACGCUGGCGGCAGGCUUAACACAUGCAAGUCGAGCGGGCAUAGCAAUAUGUCAGCGGCAGACGGGUGAGUAACGCGUGGGAACGUACCUUUUGGUUCGGAACAACUGAGGGAAACUUCAGCUAAUACCGGAUAUGCCCUUACGGGGAAAGAUUUAUCGCCGAAAGAUCGGCCCGCGUCUGAUUAGCUAGUUGGUGAGGUAAUGGCUCACCAAGGCGACGAUCAGUAGCUGGUCUGAGAGGAUGAUCAGCCACAUUGGGACUGAGACACGGCCCAAACUCCUACGGGAGGCAGCAGUGGGGAAUAUUGGACAAUGGGCGCAAGCCUGAUCCAGCCAUGCCGCGUGAGUGAUGAAGGCCCUAGGGUUGUAAAGCUCUUUUGUGCGGGAAGAUAAUGACGGUACCGCAAGAAUAAGCCCCGGCUAACUUCGUGCCAGCAGCCGCAGUAA
rnacentral:rRNA from 1 species